rnacentral:rRNA from 1 species
UACGUAGGGGGCUAGCGUUGUCCGGAAUCAUUGGGCGUAAAGCGCGUGUAGGCGGUCCGGUAAGUCCGCUGUGAAAGUCGGGGGCUCAACCCUCGAAUGCCGGUGGAUACUGUCGGGCUAGAGUGCGGAAGAGGCGAGUGGAAUUCCUGGUGUAGCGGUGAAAUGCGCAGAUAUCAGGAGGAACACCGAUGGCGAAGGCAGGUCUCUGGGCCAUAACUGACGCUGAGAAGCGAAAGCGUGGGGAGCGAACAGG